CUGAGGAUUUCCUGUCUCUGGAAGGAUUUUCUUCUCUCUCUUUCUGACCAAAGCAGAGAGAGGAGGAGAAGGACAGAUAGUAAGAGGAGAGGAAAACAGGAGAAGGAAGAGCGACAGUGGGCCGGGAGUGACCUUCGUGGUGUGGUGGCAAAGCAGAGGAGGAGGAACGGGACUAAGCGGAGGAUCCAUCAGCUGGAGCAGGUGCAUUUUCCCUCUUUGAGGAGCAGUGAUAUGGACACCAGGUGUGGUGACGCUGAGGGACCUUCUUUAAGGACGAAUGGAGGAUUCAAUCACCUGCUCACAGGUCAUUUGUGCUUCUUGAUCGAAUUGCACUGAGCAUCUAGCACAGAGACACUUUACUGGACUGGUGGACACAUACACACAGACACACCCAUGUGUGUGUAUAUAUAUAUAUAUAUGUGUAUAUAUGUGUAUAUAUGUAUAUAUAUAUAUAUAUAUAUAUAUAUCAAUAAGGACAUAGCCAAAGGGUAAAUUAUUUUUUUCAAUAUAAUGGUGCAUUUCAUGGCUCCCUUACCCCUAG
rnacentral:lncRNA from 1 species